UUCAAGGCCCGCCUCCUUCAAGGUCCUGACUGGUUCACGGCAAAUGUGGGUCGGGGCCUAAGGGAAGGCAUUGAGGUUUGAAGGCUGAGAGCUGCCCGGAGAGAAGCAAGAGGUGUCCCAGGGGGAGGGGCCUGACAUGGGUCCUGCUGGGGGCCACGGCCAAGGCUGCCCCCGUGCCCCGUUUGGCCAGCACGAGGCACCUGCUGAUCCAAGGAAAGGAGGGGUCUGAGCAUAAAGCCGGUUCUCCUUCUCCAGGGACUUCAGAAUGCUGGUGGGUGUGCUGACCCAGGAGGUGGGCUGCCAGUGCCCUGGACUGCAAGGCCGCAUCCACGGGAAGGAGUCUACUGUGUGAGCAGGUUGAGUGAAUGCUCCCCGAGGCCUUCAGUGCUCUCUGCUCCCCUGAGCCUGUGGUAGGUGGCUCCCAGCACCCAGAGCUUCUCUUUGGCACACCCCUACCCACACUAUUUGUUGUCUGUGCCUACAGGCUGUAACUAGAGCUGUGUCUCACUCAUCUCUGUAUAGUCCCUGUGCCUGGCUGGUUUAGGCUUUCAGUAACUGGAUGGAUAGAUGGAUGGAUGAAGGAAUGCCCCAAGGAACAGAAACCUGAAGUAACUACCCCAGCAUUGCCUCUUCUCGUUGCUCCCAUGUUCAUGUCUGCUGCAUCCCAGGGGACUGGUUAGUUGUGUGGGUCUGUGAUUGUCAGGUGGGAGACCACUGCCCUCCUGAGCUGGCCCUGGACCAGAACCACACAGCAGCUGACCUCCUGGCCCAGGCUGUGCAUGAACAGCCUGGGGCACCUGCCCUGCUCACUCACCAGCUGAGCAUCUGGAUUGACCCCACUGGCAACAGUGAGGAGGCUGGGACAGGAGCCAGGCAAGGUUGGGGAGAAGGAGGGGCCAGAAGUCCGGCCCAAGGAGCAGGGAAAGGAACAGGCAAGAACUGGGGCAGAGCGCUGCGGAUGGAGCCUGGGCAGUGGAGGGGGUUCUGGGGAAGGCCCUGGGGCUUGAAACGGGGCUCUGGGCUGAGACCAAGGUGGGAAGGAGGGAUGCAAGGAGGCUGAAUUGUCCCUCCCAACACUUUCCUUGGCCACGUCAGGUGGUGUGGAGUCCAGAUAUUUCUCAAAGCAAAAUCACUUUCAUUCUCAUGUUACCCCAAAACAGGGUAGG